AGAGUUUGAUCAUGGCUCAGGAUGAACGCUGGCGGCGUGCCUAACACAUGCAAGUCGAACGGGGUUAUCGUGAUGAAGUCUUCGGAUGGAAUUACGAUAACCUAGUGGCGGACGGGUGAGUAACGCGUGGGUAACCUGCCCCAUACAGGGGGAUAACAGCCGGAAACGGCUGCUAAAACCGCAUAAGCGCACACCGGCGCAUGCCGGAGUGUGAAAAUGUAUGCCGAAAGGUAUGCAGGUAUGGGAUGGGCCCGCGUCUGAUUAGCUAGUUGGUGAGGUAACGGCUCACCAAGGCGACGAUCAGUAGCCGGCUUGAGAGAGUGACCGGCCACAUUGGGACUGAGACACGGCCCAAACUCCUACGGGAGGCAGCAGUGGGGAAUAUUGCACAAUGGGGGAAACCCUGAUGCAGCGACGCCGCGUGAGUGAAGAAGUACUUCGGUACGUAAAGCUCUAUCAGCAGGGAAGAAGAUGACGGUACCUGACUAAGAAGCCCCGGCUAACUACGUGCCAGCAGCCGCGGUAAUACGUAGGGGGCAAGCGUUAUCCGGAAUUACUGGGUGUAAAGGGAGCGUAGGUGGCGAAGCAAGUCAGAUGUGAAAGCCCGGGGCUCAACUCCGGGACUGCAUUUGAAACUGUUUUGCUAGAGUGCAGGAGAGGUAAGUGGAAUUCCUAGUGUAGCGGUGAAAUGCGUAGAUAUUAGGAGGAACACCAGUGGCGAAGCGGCUUACUGGACUGUAACUGACACUGAGGCUCGAAAGCGUGGGGAGCA
rnacentral:rRNA from 1 species